rnacentral:rRNA from 1 species
GGCAGCGUGGGCCAAGAAUGCAGGUCGAGCGAAUGGAUUAAGAGCUUGCUCUUAUGAAGUUAGCGGGGGACGGGUGAGUAACACGUGGGUAACCUGCCCAUAAGACUGGGAUAACUCCGGGAAACCGGGGCUAAUACCGGAUAACAUUUUGAACCGCAUGGUUCGAAAUUGAAAGGCGGCUUCGGCUGUCACUUAUGGAUGGACCCGCGUCGCAUUAGCUAGUUGGUGAGGUAACGGCUCACCAAGGCAACGAUGCGUAGCCGACCUGAGAGGGUGAUCGGCCACACUGGGACUGAGACACGGCCCAGACUCCUACGGGAGGCAGCAGUAGGGAAUCUUCCGCAAUGGACGAAAGUCUGACGGAGCAACGCCGCGUGAGUGAUGAAGGCUUUCGGGUCGUAAAACUCUGUUGUUAGGGAAGAACAAGUGCUAGUUGAAUAAGCUGGCACCUUGACGGUACCUAACCAGAAAGCCACGGCUAACUACGUGCCAGCAGCCGCGGUAAUACGUAGGUGGCAAGCGUUAUCCGGAAUUAUUGGGCGUAAAGCGCGCGCAGGUGGUUUCUUAAGUCUGAUGUGAAAGCCCACGGCUCAACCGUGGAGGGUCAUUGGAAACUGGGAGACUUGAGUGCAGAAGAGGAAAGUGGAAUUCCAUGUGUAGCGGUGAAAUGCGUAGAGAUAUGGAGGAACACCAGUGGCGAAGGCGACUUUCUGGUCUGUAACUGACACUGAGGCGCGUUGGUCGCCCC